rnacentral:tRNA from 1 species
GGGAGUUUGGCCGAGUGGUUAAGGCGCUGUGUUUAGGUCAUAGGCUCUAGGCUUUAUGCCGGCUUAUACCAUAAAUCCCGCAGUGGGAAACCGCGCAGGUUCGAAUCCUGCAGCUCUCA